rnacentral:rRNA from 1 species
AGAGUUUGAUCCUGGCUCAGAAUCAACGCUGGCGGCGCGCCUAACACAUGCAAGUCGAACGAGAAAGCGGGGCAACUCGCAAGUAAAGUGGCGUACGGGUGAGUAACACGUGGGUAAUCUACCCUUUGGUGGGGAAUAACCCUGGGAAACCGGGGAUAAUACCGCAUAAUCCCGAGAGGGAAAAGGAGAAAUCCGCCGAAGGAGGAGCCCGCGGCCGAUUAGCUAGUUGGUAGGGUAAGAGCCUACCAAGGCAAAGAUCGGUAGCCGGCCUGAGAGGGCACACGGCCACACUGGCACUGAAACACGGGCCAGACUCCUACGGGAGGCAGCAGUGGGGAAUCUUGCAUAAUGGGGGAAACCCUGAUGCAGCGACGCCGCGUGAGCGAUGAAGCCCUUCGGGGUGUAAAGCUCUUUCGGCAGGGAAGAUUAUGACGGUACCUGCAUAAGCAGCUGCGGCUAACUACGUGCCAGCAGCCGCGGUAAUACGUAGGCAGCAAGCGUUGUUCGGAAUUACUGGGCGUAAAGGGUGCGUAGGCGGUUUCGCAAGUUUGGUGUGAAAUCUCCCGGCUUAACUGGGAGGGUGCGCCGAAAACUGCGAAGCUAGAGUGCGGGAGAGGAGAGUGGAAUUCCUGGUGUAGCAGUGAAAUGCGUAGAUAUCUGGAGGAACACCCAUGGCGAAGGCAGCCUUCUGGGGCAUUCCUGACACUGAGAAGCGAAAGCUAGGGGAGCAAACAGGAUUAGAAACCCUGGUAGUCCUAGCUGUAAACGAUGAAUGCUAGGUGUUGGCGGCUUUAACCCCG